UUAAAAAUCUAAUUAAGUUUGAUUUGAUAGUUUGGUAUUGAGUGAAAAAAUUCGAACAAAACGACAUAUAUAUAUACACACACACUCUCUCUCUCUCUUCUAAGACUUUUAUAGAAUUUUCUUUAAAAAAUAGGCGUAAUAUAUAAAGCACCCCUUUAAGUUGUCUCCAACGAUCAUUUGAACACCUUAAUUUGGCAUAUGACCAAAUAGACACUCAUGCUUGGAAGAACUGCAUCUCUUAAAUCUCUUACGAUGACAUGAUAAAAUUUGUAUGUCACACUCAGAUAUGAGCGUGUGAAUCUCUUUAAAAUUAGCUAUCUUCUUUUUUUCUCCUAAAAUCAACAUGAACUCCACCUAAUUCAUACAUCUUUCUUCUCCGAUUUUCUUCUACCAUCCUCUACCCUAAAACUAAUUUCUCCACCUUUCAUCUUCAUGCUAGAAAAAAGCAUAUCAAGGACACAACUUUCAUUACCACCACAAUUAAUGUCAACCACUAAACAAAGUUACAAACCCAAAAAUAAUAUAUCUCCACUGUUACAUCACAUAGAACCAUUGACACUUCCAUCAAUCUCCCUUAUUGACCCCAAAUAUAGAAAAAAAAAAUUCAUUUAAAACCUUCCAAUUUCACCACAAUUACAUCUGAGAGUUAGUUCUUUGCGGUGAUAAUAUAUCAAUCAAGUGGGUUGGUACAAUUUUUGAUUUGAUUUUGAGAAAAAACAAAAAGAACGAAGCGGGCUUUGGCAGCAGACAACAUAAGGUUGGAGCUUCAAAGAGCAACAAAUUAUGAGGCCAUAGCAGAAAGGAAAGGCAGCAAAGAGAUUAAGAGCAGUAGUGAAAGCAAAGUAAAGCAAAAAGAGUUUUAAUGUGGCAAAGCAGUGAAGACAGAUGCAAUGUCUUGGGGGGAGGGGGGGAAGAGUCUUUUUCUUUUUUUAAUUAAAGAAUUACAAGUUUUUUUAAUAUAAACUAUAAUAUAUUCAAGAAAUACACAUGCUAUUCGCUAAUUUGUCAGAUUGACAUGUCAUUAGCAAGUGUAACUCACACAUGAGGCUUGUUGAACUUGAGUGUUCUCGAGACACUCCUGUGUCUAGAAGUAUCUGUCUUGUCAUAUGCCCAGUUAAGGUGUUCAAAUAAUCGUUAAAGACAAUUUAAAGAGGCGUUUUAUGUAUUUCUCAUAAAAAAUAUCUUGAUAUAUUUAUGGU
rnacentral:lncRNA from 1 species